GACUUCAAAAGCUACAACACAGCAGUUAAUCUUGUAAAUUAAACGAUAAGAGUUUAAACCCCUUUUGAAGUUU
rnacentral:tRNA from 1 species